GACUCCCAACCAUCCUUCAGCCUCCCUCACCCCCUCGGCCCCUUUUGUGUGACAGGAUGCCCUCAAUUACUCUCUUUAGGGGGGGGUCCCAGUCAGAAGAAGAUGGAGCCAACCAUCUGUUACCGACUCCAGUGAGCAAUUUAAUUUUCUCUUGUUCCCAACAAGGAGGAUUUUGUGAGAAGGUUGAGGCUUGGAGAUACCGAGUGACUCAGCACAGUUUUGCAAGCAGUGGCAGAGACAGACCUGGAAACCUGCUCUCCGAUCAUCCCUUCACAGCAGGUGCAGAGAUGGAGGCACAGAGAGGCUAAGGAAGCCUCAGGAGACAGACUUCAUGGGACAAGAUGAAGAAAAUGGUAUUGGCAGAGAACAGUCAAAGAGGAAGGACAUCAUCCAAGGCAUGCAAGACAGAAAAUGAUGUAAUUCUGGUAUGAUGACUCAUAUAAGGCCCACAAUAUAUUAAACACCUACUUUGUGUUCACUGUUUUGUGGCCACUAGGAGACCAGUGUGAGUGUUAGGAAGAAUUGAGGGAAAUAAAGAA